GUGGGGCAGUCCGCUGGGCCUCAGCCCUGCAGGCUGCCGUCUUGUGGCGGUUGGGGGCUUUCGCCGGGUUUGUUUCAGGCGUUUCGCAGCUGUGGGAGGAGAGCUGUAUUGGCAGUGCGUGAUGAAACUGACUCAAUUUUUUACACCUGAAGGAGAUGUGGGGCAGCAUUAAGGAACAUGAAGAGCAAAACACAAGGACACAGGAAACAGCUCACCAAGGGGAGGGGAAAAGACUGGAUAACAAAAUGGAGGCAAGAGGUCAAGGACUUUCAGGUGCAAGUGAUUUAGUGAAGUCUUGUGAUGAGCCACUAAGUUACCUUCUGCCUGUCAUUUCCUGAUCACAAAGUGUUCAGGACUAUUCUCAAAAGAUAUACUGGUUUUUCAAGAAUUUCAUUACUGCUCCCAUUGUUCCCUGCAUGACAUUAUUUUAAGGAGUCUUCACAACCUACAGUAUUGUUUAUUCUAAGUGACAAGAAGCUUCUACUCCCAUGCUGCCUGUACAAUUACUGAAAAAACUGAAGCCCUCUUUACAAAUUAGCUUCAUAUAUGGUAUUUCUCAUAUGCAUGUUUCUUUCUGGCUUGUUUUUAUCUUCUUAAUUUUUAGUGUGCCUUUUUUCCUCUCUCAGAAACUAGCUUAUCAUUAUAGAUAUAUAAAAAAUCACAUACAUAAAUGUUUACAUCUCAGUUAUAUUACAGCAUUGGAAGCA